UACAGAGGUCUCAAGCGUUGUUCGGAUUCAUUGGGCGUAAAGGGUGCGUAGGCGGCGCGGUAAGUCGGGUGUGAAAUCUUGGAGCUUAACUCCGAAACUGCAUUCGAUACUGCCGUGCUUGAGGACUGGAGAGGAGACUGGAAUUUACGGUGUAGCUGGUGAAAUGCGUAGAUAUCGUAAGGAAGACCAGUGGCGAAGGCGGGUCUCUGG
rnacentral:rRNA from 1 species